rnacentral:rRNA from 1 species
AUUGAACGCUGGCGGCAGGCCUAACACAUGCAAGUCGAACGAGUGGCGGACGGGUGAGUAAGGUCUGGGAACCUGCCUGAUGGAGGGGGCUAACUACUGGAACCGGUAGCUACUACCGCCUACCAUCAUAUGUGCCCAGGUGGGAUUAGCUUGUUGGUGGGGUAACGGCUCACCAAGGCGACGAUCCCUAGCUGGUCUGAGAGGACGACCAGCAACACUGGAACUGAGACACGGCCCAGACUCCUACGGGAGGCAGCAGUGGGGAAUAUUGGACAAUGGGCGAAAGCCUGAUGCAGCCAUGCCGCGUGAAUGAAGAAGGCCUUCGGGUUGUAAAGUUCUGUCGGCGGGGAAGCGUUAUCCGAAGAGGAAGCACCGGCUAACUCCGUGCCAGCCGCCGCGGUAAUAC